ACUAGAAUGUGCAGAGAUGGACAGAUUGAUUAUGAGACUGAAAGAAAAAGUAGAAACGGAAUAUUAUCAAACUUGGGACUUAUUUUAUCGAUGGCUAGAGGAAAGAAUAAAGGAUUAGGAAUUAGAUAUGUAUUAACGAAUGUAAACUCAAGACAGCACGUUGGUUAAAAAAUUAUUACUCAAUGUAUGGGGGAAAAACCCAAUAAAAUCUUUUACAAAAAAAAAAGAAAUCUAAAUAGAUUUGGCAAUUGUUGAGAGUUAUUUAUUUGAUUACAUAUAGGGAAAAUAGGGAAAACUAAUAAAGCCAACACAUAUAUUUUGUUUCUGAAGGAUGUUCAAAACUUUGUGGGUUUCAUGCCCGUUUUUAUACACAAAGAUUGGCAGGAAAAUAAUUGGCAAAGACUGGCAGAAGAACUGCCUGCCAAUUUGGGUGGGAGGCAGAGAAUUCACAAGCAUGUUAGAGAUCUAUUCUGGCAAUGUUACUAAUUUAGAACAGAACACCGAAAACUGUGUGAAAGAUUUAUGAUGUGGGUUUGCUGACUUGCUGUAUAAAGAUGAAGACAGGUGAGACCCCUACUAAAAGAGAGUCCAUGGAAAAACAAGAUAGUUACUGGCCAGUUGCAAUUACUAUGAUGGCUAAUAAGGAAGAUCUGAGCGCCUAUUUAUUAGCCAGCCAUGAUACCAAAGUGGUCUACGCUGGGAAUCGAUAUAUUUUGUAUAAUUUGACAUUUAGAAUAAUUUAUCAUAUUUAUUUUCAUACAUGUAUAGAUCUUAUACUUGUUUUUUCAAGAACUGGAACAUGGAUUGAUAUGGACAACCAAUGAGUGCCUGGAUUCAUAGAAUUAUAUUAGGAGGUGUUUCAGGUUCCUGAAACCAAACUAUUAAGGUGAUUAAACAGAAGGCAUGAGCGCAAACACAAAGCUAACACAAUCGGUCCUGUAUCCAGGCGACAGCCUAUAAACAUUUGCAGCACCUUGACAACCAGAUAUCACACUGCUGAAGGAUGGCCUCAUCAACACAGGGAUGACUUUCAUAGAUGACCUCUAUUUCUUCAUAUUCCUAUUCCUUAAAGUCUGAUUAAAAAGACUAAGUAUAGUCACGGCAUUCUGCUAUUCCACAGAAGUCAGAAAGGAAAAUGCUUACCUUAAUUGCACAGUGCAAUUUUUAUUUAAGGACAACUGAAAUAUGCUGAAACUCGAACAGCCAGAAGAAUUGCCCUUUCGCAAAUGUCCAGUGUAAACCACCCUUCUUUGUUUUCAUCUGCCACAGCUAUUCAAGCUCAAGAAACAGAAAUACCACUUGGAAGACAGCAUAAAAGAUUUAUGCUUUUGGAAAAGAAUUUAACGGGUGUGGGCAUAAUCACAUCUCCAUCACUCAAAACUCACUGUGCCCAUCUGAAAACUAGUUCAAUACUGCUGCAGCUGUAAAUGGGGAAAAGAUAUUCUCUUUCCAGCUGAAAGUGUUUUGGCUGAAAGUGCUUGUGCUUCUCAGGAAGAAGGACCAGCAACUUAACACUUAAGUGGGCAUGAAAGGUGCAAGAAAUAGCUUUGGAAUUCUGAAAUUAUCAGGAGGCAAAGAGAAUCCAGUGGAAAUAACUUAAAAGGUCAAUUUUCAACUCCUGGAGAGUGCCUGGAAAGUCCUAGCAGUUUUCUUGGGCUGCAUCUAUUCAUGAAUGCAAAAGUUUUAAAAGUCAGCUUCUCAAAGCAUUAGAGAAAAAUUAGGACAGAACAUUGGACAAAAAACAUGGAGGAUCUGAGCACAUCACAUUACUGCUGGAAGAAUCAUGCAAUGUUUUAUAGAGUAUUGUGUGGGACCAGGGGAUAAAGUUGUACAAGCUAUGGUAAGCAUUCAACAUCACUCCUCAAAUGCAUUCCAGAAAACCAAAUAAUUUGUGAUACUGUAUAGUAUUGUAUAGAAAACAAUACAAAAAGAGUCACAUUUCUUCAAUCCUUCAGCCAUACAGACAGAGACUGCCUGAAGAUCCUUAGACCCUUUAAGAAUGGUAUCCAACACAGGUAAACACACUGAAAAACCAAACUUUGGGCAAUCUUUUAAGACUUCAGUUGAUUAAAGUUCUUUGUGGAGACUAUAAUAUCCACAUAACACUAAUCUACAAUGUACGCUUUUGACUUUAGCAUAAUGUGAAAAGCUGUCUAUUAAAGGUUUCGUGAUAUCUGUGAACCAAGCUUAUAUCUUUUUCCAGCUGAGCUAACUGGACACUCUUAGAACAUCUUACAGUUCUGAUUAGCUGCUCAGGUGACAUUCAAAGCCAGUAGUGACUUAGCUUGUCUUGAUCUGUGCAUGUUUACCAAGACUUGUCUUUAAUCUGAUUGACCUGAGCUAGGCUGGAUCUGACUUCAGUGACCUGACUGAUUCAAUCUGAUCAUCUUGACCAAAUCUGAUUUGCUUCACUAUUAAUCUGUCCUUUCCCACACAGGCUUAAAUCCUUGGCAAAGGGAUCUGUUCACUCUCCAUUAAUUGGAAUAUAUGAGAUAGAGUUUAAUUUCAGGAACAAAACCUGGAAUUUUUGAUAAUCUGAAAUGUUUUACUGCAGGGUUCAGUCAAAGGGGCCAAGCUGAGUUCUUGGUACUCUUUCAUGUCUGCAAUGCUCUCUUUUCUCAAACAUGUCCUUCUAUCUCUAAGCAUCACCUUGGUGCUCUGUAUCUCUCCAAGUCUAGUUUCUGCAUGGAAUAUAGGUUUAAAAUGUAGCAACCAAAUGUGUAAAUUACAAGUAUGCAAAAUUAGCUUAUUUGCAUGCUUUUCUGCUUUAGCCAAAUUACAUUGAGGGAAAUAUUUGUUUGGUUCCCAAGGAAGUAUAAAUGUUUGAUUCCUAAAACGAUACAAAGAAAAAAACUGGAUUCCAUAAGAGAGAGCUUUUUUCAUUGUCUUUAAUUUUAUGUUUGUUCGGUUGAUUUAUUUGCAACCCAUCUCAUUUUGAAACAACUCAAUUCAAGCAAUUAAUAAAUCCCAGCUAGGUUUUCCAAUUGCUUCUUCACUCAGGCUACAGGUCAACACUUAUAUGAACCAAUAAUGUAUCUCACAGUCACAUAGUUUGAAAAAUGACAUAGUUUUGCUAGCACAAAAUACCACACUUCAGUUCUGGCCUUUUCACACUCUUAGCCUUCCUCUUUACAACCAUCUCACUUGUGCUAUAGCAUGUGUGUUUGAAAACCCUUGGAUUCAGUAUUUUUCAAGAUGGCUCCCUCCUGAAGUCUUAACCACUACAUCAGACUGCUUCUCACCUAGAUUAAAUACUGGAUGUUAGCUAACUUAGCAAUAAACCACUUCUAUCUUUGCCGAUCUGUAAGGUAGAUAUGGUGCUACUAUUAGCCAUGGAUCAUGAGACUGUUUCAAGCUAAGGCAGUUUAUGCCAAGGGUUGUGCUACACUUUGAAUGGUGUAUUGGAAACAGCAGUAAAAAGAUAAGUAAGGUAGAGAGCAGAAGUGACUAAAUUUUAAUUUUCAUAUUUAAUUAAAAUUAAGUUAAUGCAAUGUUGGUAAUAUGAUUACUCAUCACACGUUGAGUAAGUUUUCUCUCCUCUAACUCUGUGAGAAACAGGGAAGUGUGCUCCCAACUUAUACGGUGAGAUGUAAAUUAAUUUCCCAUAUUUUGAAAGGAAUAAGCAUUUUACAGAGAUCUAGUUUGGUGUAGUGGUUAAGGCAUUAGGCUAGAAAUUGGGAUUUUAGUUCUGCCUAAAGCACAAAGCCAGCUGGGUAACCUUGAGCUAAUCUCUUUCUCUUAGCCCUAGAAAGCAGAAAAUGGCAAACCUCUCCUGAAAAACUGGACUUGCCAGGCAGACUCCAAGAGUUUGACACAACUUACUUGAAAGAGAAAAAAGUCAGUUUAUCAGUAUCUCCUGAAGUGAUUGGAUACCGACCUAGGAGGCAUCUCACCAUGACUGGAGGCUCUUUCAAUCAAGCUAUGUUGUUGUUAGUUGCAAAGUCGUGUCCGACCCAUCACAACCCCAUGGACAACGUUCCUCCAGGCCUUCCUGUCCUCUACCAUCUUCUGGAGUCCAUUUAAGCUCACGCCUACUGCUUUAGUGACUCCAGCCAGCCACCUCAUUCUCUGUCGUCCCAUUCUUUUAUUGCCCUCAAUCUUUCCCAGCAUUAGGCUCUUCUCCAGUGAGUCAAGCUAUGGGGCACUGUUUUGGGGGGCAGUUAUAAACAAUGACCCAGACAACAGAUUGUUAACUGCUAUGGCUUUUUAGGACUUGUUUGCAAAGUAGCAGCUGGGAAGCUGCUCAGGCAUUUAGAUUUUAAAUAAGAACCAUAUGGUAUCUUAGUGAAGAUUUAUGGUUUCUGUAGUGAUUUGUUUAUCCAUUUAUCCACUUCUCUGAAAGAAAGGAGAGGGGAGGAAAUAGACAGUAACUUGCACUGAACACCAAAGGCUGCAGAUGUGUAGGGAACUCAUGGAAACAUCUUCAGAGAGCCAACAGUCAGAGGUAAUUUUAAAAGUGUACCAGCAAUAGGCCUAUUACUGGAGAAUUGUUCCAAGGCAAGGUUAUCAAACUGCCGGCCCACAGGCUGGAGGCGUCAUGCCAAAACUGCGCCCACCCCAUUGCCAGCAAUGGAAAAAAAGUCACGAUAUGUCGCGACACGUCACGUGACAUUGCAAGUUUGACACCCCUGUUCCAAGGGAUAAAAGGCAUUUAGACGCUGUUUGAGGGACCGUUCAUCCCAUCCGUUACCUCACCCCAGUUCUCAGAGGCAUAAGAUUACACAGAUUGAGCAAAAUGUUCUGAUUGCAAACAAAAAUUAAAUGGCCGUUAUUUGCUUGGUAGUUGUAAUAUUCAGAGUUUCUCCAUAGCCUAUUACCUGAGGCAUUGUAUCAUAGUUACAAUGACUCAAGACUUGCUUGAGUUAUGCAUUCCAUCCUCAUGCAAUUAGCUUUUAUAUACCAACCUUUCUGGCUGAUUUUGGCUCAGUACAGAGAUGUAAAAUUACUAUGCAACAGAGGAUUGCAUUUUUUUCCUUUUGGACUUUAGGGGAUAUAAGAAAUGUGACCAAUAACAUCCCCAAACAGGUAAAUAGAUUUAUUUGGGUUUUAAAGGGAAAGAAUUAAUGACUUAAAAUGUUCAUCUCCUAAAGCAGGGGUUUCUCAUUUAAUAUCUCCUCAAAUUACAAAAGCUGUUUAAAAACCCAAAAGUUGGGUUCUCUGAAGGCUGCAAAUGGAAACUUGGCUUGGGGCUAACAUACACUUCAUGGAUUGCUUACUUCGGGCUUAUUGUAAUAUGUGAAUGCAAUCUUUUUGACUAGCAGGCAUGAAUUAUGUUUUAGCUUUGGAUCCCCAGGUAUAGUGCCUCCCUCAGCAUUUGUCUGCCCCACCCAACUUGUAAAGUAUCAUUCUAAGCAUAAAUAAAUUUAAACAGGCCAUGCUGAAAUUUCCAUUCUUUAGUUCUAGGAAUGUAUACAGGCCUCUACAAGAUUCUUAAUUAACUAAUUCUUAACAAUUAAAAGAAAAAUGGUGGGUGGUGUUUGCCGAGUACUGUUUGGAAAUGCUAAAAAAAAAAAAAGUAAAAAUAAACUGGUGUUAGAAAGCCUUCUGAACUGGCUAACAGAGUGGUGUAGGCAAUGCAGGUAUGGUUACUAUUUUGUGAAUGCACUCCCAACAUGCUUUCAAAAUAUCAAAGGUACCCAGCAGUCCCAAAAAGCUGAGAAGCCCCAUGUGAACAUAAAUGCAUGAAUAAGGUCAAUAUGUGAGAUUAGGGCAGGGGUCUCCAAUUCCCGGUCCGUGGACCGGUAUGCACAAACAAGCAAAGCCCCAUCUGUGGGAUGCAGGCAGCACACAAAGCCAAGCCCCCUCCAGUCCAUGGAAAAACAUCUCUCCAGGUAACCAGUCCCUGGUGCCCAAAAGGUUGGGGGGCUCUGGAUUAAGGGGCGCAGGCCAAGAGGGGACGCAGGCCAAGAGGAGAUGUUUCUCCAUCUUAUCCCAAUGUUAUGGAAUGGACUCUCCCUGAAAAUUAGACUAGCCUUGUUGACCUUCCAGAAAUGAGUUAAAAGGGAAAUUUUCCAGAGAACUUUAACACUGAAUAAGAAAGUGCCACUUUAAAUGUAAUUUAAAUUGAUGUCAUUGUUAUAUGAAUUGCUGCCAUUUAAAUUUUUGCUUUAUUGUUUUUCAAGAUUAAUGGUCAUUUUUAUAUAGUAUUUUAUGAUGAAUAUUAAAAACAUGCUAUACAAUGUUGCCAUGGGACUGAUAAUUGUGACAUUAUAAGCAAUUAAUAAUUAAAUUAAUUAAUAAAAUGAUCCAGUUAGAAAAAGCAAUGAUAAGAACCCACAAAAUCCCCAUAGACUUCAUUUGAAUCCUAAAAUAAAGGUACUUGUCAAGCAAUAUUUAUUUAUUUAUUUAUUUAUUUAUUUAUUUAUUUAUGAGACUUAUAUACCGCUUUAAGUGCAAGCACUCUCUAAGCGGUGUACACCAGUAAGCAAUGUAUAUAUAUAUUGGACAUACCUGAAAUAUCUGAAUUAUCUGAAAGAAGAAAUUUAUAGAAUAAAUGACAGAGAAUGCUAUUUGAUUUUGAUACAAAAUCAUACUGGGUCAUCCUAGUCUAUUAUUAUCAAUAAUAGAUGGUCUAUUACUGUGAACAAUUACGCUAUAUCAGCUUUAACUGAUCUAUCUCACUGUUCAAGUAAAUUAUUUCAUCUACUUAUAUCAACCCUUCAAGAGAGGCCAAGUCAGGAAACAUUCUAAAAGGACUCCUGGAAUUCUCGUGUUAUAACUUGUAAUAAUAAAAACUGGAAAGCUUGAAAAAGUUUCCCUUCAUCCCUAUACAGGUAGUCCUCAACUAAUGACCAAAAUUGAGCCCAAAAUUUCUGUUGCUAAGUGAGACAUUUCCUAAGUGAGUUUUGCCCCAUUUUACAACCUUUCUUGCCU